rnacentral:misc_RNA from 1 species
AGCGGAAAUUCAACCCAAGGGAACCAAAUUUCCUUCCUCUUGUUCCUGACCCAGAGGCAGAGAAGGUUGAUCUCAGGCAUCAGAUCAUGGAUGACAGGAAAAAUGCUGAGGAAUGGAUGCUUGAUUAUGCACUCCAACAAACUGUCACCAAACUUGCUCCUGCUAGGAAGAGGAAGGUGGCACUACUUGUUGAAGCUUUUGAAACAGUGUUGCCUAUACCCAAUUAUGAAACUCAUAUCAGGCACGCACCAGCAGCCUUUUCUCACACAACAAGACCUAUUCAAGCAUGUAGCUGAUGGCACUUUCAGAGGUGAUGAUAAAAGAGAGAGCAGCUUAGGUGAUGAUUAUCAUAGUUAGCAAGGCUCAUGAUUUAGGAGUAAACCGCAGAUUCUAUAGAGCAACUAACAUCUUCUUAAGCUGGUGUGGCGGCCUUCAGCUGGUGUGGUGACAGAAUGAAGAUUGAAGUGUAGAUGCA